AAGAGAGAGAGAGAGAGAGAGAGAGAGAGAGAGAGAGAGAGAAAGAGAGAGAGAGAGAGACCAGGGCUGCAGAGCAUUCCUGUAAUAACUGUUACUCGCGAGGUCAUCUUAAGAAUAUUUGAGACUCUGUCCCAAGACAGACUCUCUCUCUCUCUCUCUCUCUCUCUCUCUCUCUCUCUCUAUAUAUAUAUAUAU
rnacentral:miRNA from 1 species